rnacentral:rRNA from 1 species
GAUCAUGGCUCAGGAUGAACGCUGGCGGCGUGCUUAACACAUGCAAGUCGAGCGAAGCGCUUAAGUUUGAUUCUUCGGAUGAAGACUUUUGUGACUGAGCGGGCGGACGGGUGAGGUAACGCGUGGGUAACCUGCCUCAUACAGGGGGAUAACAGUUAGAAAUGACUGCUAAUACCGCAUAAGACCACGGUACCGCAUGGUACAGUGGUAAAAACUCCGGUGGUAUGAGAUGGACCCGCGU